GAAAGGAUCAUUAAUGAAUUUUGGAGUUCUACUGUGCCUGCCGUUCAUUCGGAUGUGUGCACGUAGUCUCUAUAAAUCCUUAUCAACACCUGUGCACCUUUAAAAAGGGGGGAGUCUGAUUAAGCAUUUUAUGAUGCUUAUGACGAAUAACCUCUUUUCUUAUACAAACUCUUUUAAUGUCUAUUAGAAUGUUCUCUGGCCGCAAGGCUAUAAAAUAUAAACAACUUUUAACAACGGAUCUCUUGGCUCUCGCAUCGAUGAAGAACGCAGCGAAAUGCGAUAAGUAAUGUGAAUUGCAGAAUUCAGUGAAUCAUCGAAUCUUUGAACGCACCUUGCACUCCUUGGUAUUCCGAGGAGUACGCCUGUUCGAGUGUUAUGAAGCUCUCAAAACGCAAUUGGCUUAAAACCUGAUUGUUGUUUUGGAUUUGAACUUUGCCGUGUUACAACGGCUGGUUUUAAAAGCAUUAGCUGGUACUAGAACGAAUUGGUUCUACUCAACGUGGAUAAUUAUCUGAUCGUUGAGGACAUUCCUUUCACGAGGAAUGGCCAUAGUAAAUUCAAUGGACUGCUUCUAACUUGGCUUUAAUUCUUAAUUGGAUUAACCACUUUUCAAAUCUGACCUCGAAUCAGGUGGGACUACCCGCUGAACUUAAGCAUAUCAAUAAGCGGAGGAAAAGAAACUAACAAGGAUUCCCCUAGUAACGGCGAGUGAAGCGGGAUGAGCUCAAAUUUAAAAUCUGAUAGUCUUUGGCUGUCCGAGUUGUAAUCUAGAGAAGUGUUUUCCGCGUUGGACCAUGUACAAGUUUCCUGGAACGGAACGUCAUAGAGGGUGAGAAUCCCGUCCUUGACAUGGACUACCAGUGCUUUGUGAUACACUCUCAACGAGUCGAGUUGUUUGGGAUUGCAGCUCAAAAUGGGAGGUAAAUUCCUUCUAAAGCUAAAUAUUGGCGAGAGACCGAUAGCGAACAAGUACCGUGAGGGAAAGAUGAAAAGCACUUUGGAAAGAGAGUUAAACAGUACGUGAAAUUGUUAAAAGGGAAACGAUUGAAGUCAGUCGCGUUUGCUUGGACUCAGCCUUACCUCGGUUUGGUGCAUUUCCUUGUGAACGGGCCAGCGUCAAUGUUGUUCGUUGGAAAAGGGUUAGAGAAAUGUGGCUCUUUCGGGAGUGUUAUAGUCUCUGAUCGUAUACAACGGCUGAUAUUGAGUGGUACAGCAUGCUUCGGCGGUGCUUGUGCUGGCAUAAUGGCUUUAAACGACCCGUCUUGAAACACGGACCAAGGAGUCUAACAUGUCUGCGAGUGUUUGGGUGGAAAACCCGAGCGCGUAAUGAAAGUGAUAGCUGGGAAACCUUUACCGGUAGCACCGGCGCCCCGAGUUGAACUUCUGUGACGCAUCGGAGGUAGAGCAUAUAUGUUGGGACCCGAAAGAUGGUGAACUAUGCCUGAAUAGGGCGAAGCCAGAGGAAACUCUGGUGGAGGCUCGUAGCGAUUCUGACGUGCAAAUCGAUCGUCAAAUUUGGGUAUAGGGGCGAAAGACUAAUCGAACCAUCUAGUAGCUGGUUCCUGC
rnacentral:misc_RNA from 1 species